rnacentral:tRNA from 1 species
AUUCAUAUAGCUUAUAUAGAGCAUAGUAUUGAAGAUACUAAGGAAAUUAAAAUAAUUUUUGAAUA